GUGGUCUCGCUUUGGCAGCACAUACACUAAAAUUGGAACGAUACAGAGAUGAGUAUGGCCCCUGCGCAAGGAUGACACGCAAAUUCCUGAAGCAUUCCAUAUUUUG
ensembl:snRNA U6 U6 spliceosomal RNA